GAUGAACGCUGGCGGCGUGCCUAAUACAUGCAAGUCGAGCGAACGGACGAGAAGCUUGCUUCUCUGAUGUUAGCGGCGGGCGGGAGAGUAACACGUGGAUCACCUACCUAUAAGACUGGGAUAACUUCGGGAAACCGGAGCUAAUACGGGAUAAUUUUUUGAACCGCAUGGUUCAAAAGUGAAAGACGGUUUUGCUGUCACUUAUAGAUGGAUCCGCGCUGCAUUAGCUAGUUGGUAAGGUAACGGCUUACCAAGGCAACGAUGCAUAGCCGACCUGAGAGGGUGAUCGGCCACACUGGAACUGGGACACGGUCCAGACCCCUACGGGAGGCGCAGGUAGGGAAUCUUCCGCAAUGGGCGAAAGCCUGACGGAGCAACGCCGCGUGAGUGAUGAAGGUCUUCGGAUCGUAAGACUCUGUUAUUAGGGAAGAACAUAUGCGUAAGUAACUGUGCACAUCUUGACGGUACCUAAUCAGAAAGCCACGGCUAACUACGUG
rnacentral:rRNA from 1 species